rnacentral:rRNA from 1 species
AGCAGUCGCCACGGGAAAUACGUAGGUGGCAAGCGUUGUCCGGAAUUAUUGGGCGUAAAGCGCGCGCAGGUGGUUUAAUAAGUCUGAUGUGAAAGCCCACGGCUCAACCGUGGAGGGUCAUUGGAGACUGUUAAACUUGAGUGCAGGAGAGAAAAGUGGAAUUCCUAGUGUAGCGGUGAAAUGCGUAGAGAUUAGGAGGAACACCAGUGGCGAAGGCGGCUUUUUGGCCUGUAACUGACACUGAGGCGCGAAAGCGUGGGUAGCAAACAGGAUUAGAUACCCCCGUAGUCCCUGUCUCUUAUA